GUUGUUCCCCUUCCCGUAUUAGGGCUCCAGGUCGACCUCCUGUUAUGCACAACCUGCAGCCCCCGGGGCGGCCUACAAGGGCCCACAGUUGCCAUUGGGUACAGGGAGGGGGCAAGCCUUCCACUGCCUGUACCCGAUCACAGCCUGGGAAGUUAAACCUUCUGAGCUUUCCAGUCCUGCAUCCAAGCCUGGAUAUGCAUCAGGCCUCCGAUCAGCCUCUGCUUACCCCCUCAAGGCCUCAUGAUGGAGACCCCUGACAUCCCUUAUCCAGACCACCUGGCCUCUGACUGACAGCCCUCCUGGACCAAUCGCAGGGCUAGCAACACAGGGCUGACCGUUCUGGAGGAUGUACCUUCUACUACAAGAACUCUUCCCUUCUUCUUCUUCAGAGUGAAAGACCCUUGAAUAAAUCUCCUUGCUUAUUUCCA